AAUGCAUACUGUUUGCUUCUUGUAAUAUAUUAAUUGUGAAUGUAAUUGUCCAGUGACGCAGUUUAUAGUUUUAGUAGAGAAAGGUUACUUGAUGAAGAAAUACUCACAUUUCCAUUACAUGUUAGCAGGGUAACUAGUAAUCUGUAACCUCUUACAUUUCAAAAGUAUCUUAGACACUAUGAUGAAUUAUUCCUAAAAUUACCAAUUCCUCAAAUAUAAUCCCCAAAAGAUUCAAGUUAUGAGGCCAAAUGAUUUAAGUGCCCCUGGCAAACUGUUGGUCAUUUUGUUAAUAGCAUCACACACAGUAAAUGAGUUGUGUUGAUAAAUUUUUGGGGCAGUUAUUCUCAUCCUCAGUUCUUACAGCGAGAAAACAAUCACUUAAAAUUUUAGGUUGUCCUUAACAUUGGGAUAUCACCUGGCUAUUUGUCUUAUGUUGUCUAAUAUUCCAGGAUUGGCUCAAUAAAUUUGCACUCAUGUCAAAAUAAAAUAAUUUAAACAUAGGAAACUGCAUAAAAAGUGCAAACAAAGAAGUGAAGACAUAUGCAAACUGCACAUGCAUGCAGUAGGCUAAAAAUGGUGUGGUUCGAUAAACCCUAAAAAAAAACCCACCUACUUCCUUUAAUGGUGUCUUGGACUAAAAUAAAAUACAUCUGGGUGUCUGAUGGCUUGACAUAUUUUAAUUACUAUGUUGACAUGCAAACCAUGGCAGGUAGAACCUGGCAACCAGUUGCUACUGCAGACAACAGGUGCACAUACUGACAUACUGAACAGAGCUACAUGUCAUAUUUCUCAGGUACAGAAAGCAUGUAAAUACAGGUGGCAAGACAACUGACAGCCGCACCGUCUGGAGAGAGUGCACAUGAAGGUUAUAUAAUAGUCUGUAGCCAGUGUCCUCUGCUUGAGGGUAAAGUGCCAAACUCUGCUCAUUUAUUUGCCUGCGAUCAUCCAUGGUGUGGCUGUCCAUAAAGUGCUCCCACAUCUCAUACAAAAAUGUCACUUUUUUUUUGUUAAUACAGCAGGAAUUGUAGGAAAGUCAACAAACAUGAGCAAUAAUCACAGUUUUGUUUUGCACAAAUCAAAGACACUAUAAUCUGUGCUGUAGAUUAUACUGUACUGAGGGUGGAUCAUGAAGCUUUGUAGCCUAAUCACAGAAGAGGCGGUGCAAGCAUAACAAAGACAAUAAGCAUCAGAACAAGUUGUAAAGUAAUGGUUUGUUGAAACAAAAUAGUGAACAAGUGAUAACUGAAAUGCAGAGCCCUAGUUUCAUUACUUCUCAUUCCAGCUUGAGUUUCGAUGACCAAUGGUCCAUACAGCUUGGCAGCAUCUUGCAUAAGUAGAUUCAUUUCCUCUUGGAGGUCCCCAGCGAGCCAUAAAACUUGAGCUGGGCUCUUCCUCCAGCGGCAAAGUCCCCAGAUUCAACAUACACUAUUGCGGCUUUUCACACGUGCCCUUAUGUACUCAUAAAUACAUAAAUGCAGGAGCCAGUGGGCACAGUCAAAAGAGAAAACAAAGGCGACACGUGUUAUGUGGUGAAUUAGAAAGAGGGGCUGGUUCAGAUGUCUAGACAUGGUAAAGGGGGAAACAAAACAUGUUGAAAAGGGAAACCACAGAUAAAGUCCCAGAGUGAGUUGGUUCAGCCAGCUGCUCCAUGAGCCCAAAGAGUCUGGGUACAUCUAUUUGUGCUGGAUCAGUACAACUACUGUCCUAUUUACUUUGGGAUAGCAGUAAAAUGUCAGAAGAAAAUAUAUGCAAAUAGUGCUCUUGUUAUUAUUAUUCUUUGCAUUAGGCCACUUUAAAUAAAAAGAAAAUGUUGUGGGAACAUCAGCAAACAUCACUCGAGUGUGAAGAAUACAUUUCUGUAGUUGACCUGUACUAAUGCAAAUCGCAUGCAGGAAAACAACAGGGUUCAGUGUUUUGUUACAGAAAAUGUCAGCCAGUGUGGUGACUGAAUUUCAAAGUGUCUUAUCAAAAAGAUUUGCAUGUUGGAGCUGAGCCUCAAACCAGUAUGUUCUUUCCAUUGCUCAGAAGUAACUGGUAUGAACUGGGCUACAGGUGAGAUGACAUCACACGCCUUAUAAUUUAUCUGAUGUCACACACCUGCUGCACACAGUGUUGAGACAACAAGCCUCAAUGUGAUACCAAAACAGAGGUCUUAACUGCAGAUGAUUCCUUGUUAAGAGAAGAAAAUAUGUUCCCAUUUCCUAUCAGAGGACAAUCAGAAAAAAAAGGUGUUCAGGUUACUUGUAAUCAAAGCUUAGGGAAGUUUCUUUGGGCCCAUUAUGUAUGUGCAGUGACUGCUGAAUGUACAAGUGAAGUGUUGUUGUAGCUGGACAAUGAGAUAGUCAAUCCAGUUGACCUCAGUCAGUCCACCUGGGUGUAUGCUGGCAGAUAUAAGGCUCCAGGAAGCCAUAACUUAGGAAUUUAUGUUUUUCUCUUUUUUUGCACUGUAACAGCAUGUGCAUUGAAUUCUUAGUGGUACAAGGCAUGAUUUAAAGGCAUAAUAUGUAAAAAUUGUCAAAGCUAACCAGUGAAUGGAGAUGGUGAGCUGUUUUAGCAACAACAAAGCCAUUAGACAGAGAAAUAAAACGUUUUCAGAUUUGAACACACCCACACCUUUGCACAACCAUAUGGGAAGAUUCUGAGUGAAUGCAGCUGGAGAGCAAAGACAUUGCCAGAGCUGUUACUUUUUGAUUAAGAACUGUCUGCACUCCUUUCCCUUCUGUUAUUGACUGGAGGUACACAGAUAUGACCCAAACACAGCAGAA